rnacentral:tRNA from 1 species
ACCUGGGUGGCUCAGUUGGUUGAGCAUCUGACUUUUGAUACUGGCUCGGGUCAUGAUCCCAGAGUUGUGGGAUCAAGUCCCAUGUCAGGUU